rnacentral:rRNA from 1 species
CCCUGGCUCAGGACGAACGCUGGCGGCAUGCCUAAUACAUGCAAGUCGAGCGGAGUUCUGUUGAAAGCUUGCUUUCAACAGGAUUUAGCGGCGGACGGGUGAGUAACACGUAGGCAACCUGCCCCAUAGCCUGGGAUAACUACCGGAAACGGUAGCUAAUACCGGAUAAUUCCUUUCCCCACCUGGGGAGAGGAUGAAAGACGGAGCAAUCUGUCGCUGAGGGAUGGGCCUGCGGCGCAUUAGCUAGUUGGUGGGGUAACGGCUCACCAAGGCGACGAUGCGUAGCCGACCUGAGAGGGUGAACGGCCACACUGGGACUGAGACACGGCCCAGACUCCUACGGGAGGCAGCAGUAGGGAAUCUUCCGCAAUGGGCGCAAGCCUGACGGAGCAAUGCCGCGUGAGUGAUGAAGGUUUUCGGAUCGUAAAGCUCUGUUGCCAGGGAAGAACGUCUUAUAGAGUAACUGCUAUAAGAGUGACGGUACCUGAGAAGAAAGCCCCGGCUAACUA